GUGUCAGCAGCCGCGGUAAUACGUAGGGUGCAAGCGUUAAUCGGAAUUACUGGGCGUAAAGCGUGCGCAGGCGGUGAUGUAAGACAGUUGUGAAAUCCCCAGGCUUAACCUGGGAACUGCACUUGUGACUGCAAGGCUGGAGUACGGCAGAGGGGGAUGGAGUUCCGCGUGUAGCAGUGAAAUGCGUAGAUAUGCGGAGGAACACCGAUGGCGAAGGCAAUCCCCUGGGCCUGUACUGACGCUCAUGCACGAAAGCGUGGGGAGCAAACAGGAUUAGAUACCCUGGUAGUCCACGCCCUAAACGAUGUCAACUGGUUGUUGGGAAUUCACUUUCUCAGUAACGAAGCUAACGCGUGAAGUUGACCGCCUGGGGAGUACGGCCGCAAGGUUGAAACUUAAAGGAAUUGACGG
rnacentral:rRNA from 1 species